UACAGAGGGGGCAAGCGUUGUUCGGAAUUACUGGGCGUAAAGGGCGCGUAGGCGGUCUGCUAAGUCGAACGUGAAAUCCCUGGGCUCAACCCAGGAACUGCGUCCGAUACUGGUUGGCUUGAAUCCGGGAGAGGGACGUGGAAUUCCAGGUGUAGCGGUGAAAUGCGUAGAUAUCUGGAGGAACACCGGUGGCGAAGGCGACGUCCUGGACCGGCAUUGACGCUGAGGCGCGAAAAGCCAGGGGAGCAAACGGGG
rnacentral:rRNA from 1 species